UACGAAGGGGGCUAGCGUUGCUCGGAAUCACUGGGCGUAAAGGGUGCGUAGGCGGGUCUUUAAGUCAGGGGUGAAAUCCUGGAGCUCAACUCCAGAACUGCCCUUUGAUACUGAAGAUCUUGAGUUCGGGAGAGGUGAGUGGAACUGCGAGUGUAGAGGUGAAAUUCGUAGAUAUUCGCAAGAACACCAGUGGCGAAGGCGGCUCACUGGCCCGAUACUGACGCUGAGGCACGAAAGCGUGGGGAGCAAACAGGG
rnacentral:rRNA from 1 species